UACAGAGGUCUCAAGCGUUGUUCGGAUUCAUUGGGCGUAAAGGGUGUGUAGGUGGCGCGCUAAGUCGGGUGUGAAAUUUCGGAGCUUAACCCUCGAAACUGCAUUCGAUACUGGCGUGCUUGAGGACUGGAGAGGAGACUGGAAUUCAUGGUGUAGCAGUGAAAUGCGUAGAGAUCAUGAGGAAGACCAGUGGCGAAGGCGGGUCUCUGGACAGUUCCUGACACUGAGACACGAAGGCCAGGGGAGCAAACGGG
rnacentral:rRNA from 1 species